rnacentral:rRNA from 1 species
CAGUAGCCACGUAAUACGUAGGGUGCGAGCGUUAAUCGGAAUUACUGGGCGUAAAGCGAGCGCAGACGGUUACUUAAGCAGGAUGUGAAAUCCCCGGGCUCAACCUGGGAACUGCGUUCUGAACUGGGUGACUAGAGUGUGUCAGAGGGAGGUAGAAUUCCACGUGUAGCAGUGAAAUGCGUAGAGAUGUGGAGGAAUACCGAUGGCGAAGGCAGCCUCCUGGGAUAACACUGACGUUCAUGCUCGAAAGCGUGGGUAGCAAACAGGAUUAGAUACCCCUGUAGUCCCUGUCUCUUAUAUA